AGGACGAACGCUGGCGGCGUGCUUAACACAUGCAAGUCGAGCGGUAAGGCCUUUCGGGGUACACGAGCGGCGAACGGGUGAGUAACACGUGGGUGAUCUGCCCUGCACUUCGGGAUAAGCCUGGGAAACUGGGUCUAAUACCGGAUAUGACCUCCUAUCGCAUGGUGGGUGGUGGAAAGAUUUAUCGGUGCAGGAUGGGCCCGCGGCCUAUCAGCUUGUUGGUGGGGUAAUGGCCUACCAAGGCGACGACGGGUAGCCGACCUGAGAGGGUGACCGGCCACACUGGGACUGAGACACGGCCCAGACUCCUACGGGAGGCAGCAGUGGGGAAUAUUGCACAAUGGGCGAAAGCCUGAUGCAGCGACGCCGCGUGAGGAUGACGGCCUUCGGGUUGUAAACCUCUUUCAGCAGGACGAAGCGCAAGUGACGGUACCUGCAAGAAGAAGCACCGGCUAACUACGUGCCAGCAGCCGAC
rnacentral:rRNA from 1 species